rnacentral:sRNA from 1 species
UUUAUUUUGUUAAUAUUGUCAGUAUUAUUUAGUUUUUAAAAUUGUAUAGUUGUAUUUUGAUUGUUAUAUCUAUGAUUUUACCCGUAGUAUGUCGUCCCGUAUUAAUAUAUUUAUAAUAUUUAAACUUCUUAUAA